rnacentral:rRNA from 1 species
UACGUAGGGUGCGAGCGUUGUCCGGAUUUAUUGGGCGUAAAGAGCUCGUAGGCGGUUUGUCGCGUCGGCCGUGAAAUCUCCACGCUUAACGUGGAGCGUGCGGUCGAUACGGGCAGACUUGAGUUCGGUAGGGGAGACUGGAAUUCCUGGUGUAGCGGUGAAAUGCGCAGAUAUCGGGAAGAACACCCGUGGCUAAGGCGGCUCUCUAGUACGGUACUGACGCUGAGACGCGAAAGCGUGGGGAGCGAACAGG